rnacentral:lncRNA from 1 species
CUUAACUCCCCUUUAAGCCUCCCUUCAAUUUUCCAAGCCUUUUGACCUUCUUUCUUCAUCAGUUUUCAGACCUAGCUGCUUGGGAACAAAGCAAGGAAAAUAUCUAGGAUUUCCAAGAGUUUAUUAGCACAAAAGACCCUCAAUUCAAGUAGAAAAGAUAUGCAAGUCCUAAACUUAAUUAAAAUGCAAGAAAGGUCCCUAUAAAAC